UUGCGUUGGCCAAAAAGUUCGUUCGGGUUUUUCCAUAGCAUGAAGAACCCAAACAAACUUUUUGGCCAACCCAAU
rnacentral:miRNA from 1 species